UACGUAGGGGGCUAGCGUUGUCCGGAAUCAUUGGGCGUAAAGCGCGUGUAGGCGGUCCGGUAAGUCCGCUGUGAAAGUCGAGGGCUCAACCCUCGAAUGCCGGUGGAUACUGUCGGGCUAGAGUGCGGAAGAGGCGAGUGGAAUUCCUGGUGUAGCGGUGAAAUGCGCAGAUAUCAGGAGGAACACCUAUUGCGAAGGCAGCUCGCUGGGACGCUACUGACGCUGAGACGCGAAAGCGUGGGGAGCAAACAGG
rnacentral:rRNA from 1 species